GACGAACGCUGGCGGCGUGCUUAACACAUGCAAGUCGAACGAAGUGGCGAACGGGUGAGUAACGCGUAAUCAACCUGCCCUUCAGAGGGGGACAACAGUUGGAAACGACUGCUAAUACCGCAUACUGAAGGAGGGGAUUGCGUUUGAUUUGCUAGUUGGAGGGGUAACGGCCCACCAAGGCGAUGAUCAGUAGCCGGGCUGGUGGGGUGAACCGCCAAAUUGGGACUGGGACACGGCCCAGACUCCUAAGGGAGGCAGCAGUGGGGAAACUUCCGCAAUGGGCGAAAGGCUGACGGAGCAACGCCGCGUGAGUGAUGACGGCCUUCGGGUUGUAAAGCUCUGUUAAUCGGGACGCGGUACCGGAAGAGAAAGCCACGGCUAACUACGUGCCAGCCGCCGCGGUAAUAC
rnacentral:rRNA from 1 species